rnacentral:rRNA from 1 species
CACUGCAUUCUGUGCAGUAUCCUAAGUCGAAUACAUAGACUUAGAGAAGCGAACCCGGAGAACUGAACCAUCUAAGUACCCGGAGGAAAAGAAAUCAACCGAGAUUCCGCAAGUAGCGGCGAGCGAACGCGGAGGAGCCUGUACGUGAUAACUGUCGAGAUAGAAGAACAAGCUGGGAAGCUUGACCAUAGCGGGUGACAGUCCCGUAUUCGAAAUCUCAAUAGUGGUACCAAGCGUACGAAAAGUAGGGCGGGACACGUGAAAUCCUGUCCGAAUAUGGGGGGACCAUCCUCCAAGGCUAAAUACUCAUCAUCGACCGAUAGUGAACCAGUACCGUGAGGGAAAGGCGAAAAGAACCCCGGGAGGGGAGUGAAACAGAACCUGAAACCUGAUGCAUACAAACAGUGGGAGCGCCCUAGUGGUGUGACUGCGUACCUUUUGUAUAAUGGGUCAACGACUUACAUUCAGUAGCGAGCUUAACCGGAUAGGGGAGGCGUAGGGAAACCGAGUCUUAAUAGGGCGAUGAGUUGCUGGGUGUAGACCCGAAACCGAGUGAUCUAUCCAUGGCCAGGUUGAAGGUGCCGUAACAGGUACUGGAGGACCGAACCCACGCAUGUUGCAAAAUGCGGGGAUGAGCUGUGGAUAGGGGUGAAAGGCUAAACAAACUCGGAGAUAGCUGGUUCUCCCCGAAAACUAUUUAGGUAGUGCCUCGAGCAAGACACUGAUGGGGGUAAAGCACUGUUAUGGCUAGGGGGUUAUUGCAACUUACCAACCCAUGGCAAACUCAGAAUACCAUCAAGUGGUUCCUCGGGAGACAGACAGCGGGUGCUAACGUCCGUUGUCAAGAGGGAAACAACCCAGACCGCCGGCUAAGGUCCCAAAUGAUAGAUUAAGUGGUAAACGAAGUGGGAAGGCCCAGACAGCCAGGAUGUUGGCUUAGAAGCAGCCAUCAUUUAAAGAAAGCGUAAUAGCUCACUGGUCGAGUCGUCCUGCGCGGAAGAUGUAACGGGGCUCAAAUCUAUAACCGAAGCCGCGGAUACGUGCUUGCACGUAUGGUAGGGGAGCGUUCUGUAGGCCGAUGAAGGCGCAUUGUAAAGUGUGCUGGAGGUAUCAGAAGUGCGAAUGUUGACAUGAGUAGCGAUAAAGCGGGUGAAAAGCCCGCUCGCCGAAAGCCCAAGGUUUCCUACGCAACGUUCAUCGGCGUAGGGUGAGUCGGCCCCUAAGGCGAGGCAGAAAUGCGUAGUCGAUGGGAAACAGGUUAAUAUUCCUGUACUUGAUUCAAAUGCGAUGUGGGGACGGAGAAGGUUAGGUUGGCAAGCUGUUGGAAUAGCUUGUUUAAGCCGGUAGGUGGAAGACUUAGGCAAAUCCGGGUCUUCUUAACACCGAGAAGUGACGACGAGUGUCUACGGACACGAAGCAACCGAUACCACGCUUCCAGGAAAAGCCGCUAAGCUUCAGUUUGAAUCGAACCGUACCGCAAACCGACACAGGUGGGCAGGAUGAGAAUUCUAAGGCGCUUGAGAGAACUCGGGAGAAGGAACUCGGCAAAUUGAUACCGUAACUUCGGGAGAAGGUAUGCCCUCUAAGGUUAAGGACUUGCUCCGUAAGCCCCGGAGGGUCGCAGAGAAUAGGUGGCUGCGACUGUUUAUUAAAAACACAGCACUCUGCCAACACGAAAGUGGACGUAUAGGGUGUGACGCCUGCCCGGUGCCGGAAGGUUAAUUGAAGAUGUGAGAGCAUCGGAUCGAAGCCCCGGUAAACGGCGGCCGUAACUAUAACGGUCCUAAGGUAGCGAAAUUCCUUGUCGGGUAAGUUCCGACCCGCACGAAUGGCGUAACGAUGGCCACACUGUCUCCUCCCGAGACUCAGCGAAGUUGAAGUGGUUGUGAAGAUGCAAUCUACCCGCUGCUAGACGGAAAGACCCCGUGAACCUUUACUGUAGCUUUGCAUUGGACUUUGAAGUCACUUGUGUAGGAUAGGUGGGAGGCUUGGAAGCAGAGACGCCAGUUUCUGCGGAGCCGUCCUUGAAAUACCACCCUGGUGUCUUUGAGGUUCUAACCCAGACCCGUCAUCCGGGUCGGGGACCGUGCAUGGUAGGC